UCUACUACUUAAAAAGACUCAAUUGGUUCCUUAUUCUGCCAAUAGCCCAAUACGUUUGGUCGUUUUCGUCGUCCCUCCGUCCCCAGACGUACAAGGAAAAAAAUCAGCGCAAUCCAUCAUGCAAUCAGCGCAGACAAUCAGCUAUCAGCCGAGACAUACAAGGAAAAAAAUCAGCCUAGACAUACAAGGAAACCAAUCAGCGCAGACGUACAAGGAAACCAAUCAGCCCAGCCGUAUCCCUAUGAAUCAGCUGGGCGGAAUAGGAAAUCAUCUCUCCCCUCACGCUGCCGUCUCUUCUCACUCUUACGCUGCCAUCUCUUCUCCGAUGCCUUCCGUACGGCAACCACCUCGCCGCCCAGUGGUCUGCCGUCUCUUCUCCGACGUCUGCCUUCUUGGCAAACACUGGUUGCCAACACCGACGCCCCGAGGUCUGCCGGCUCGCCGACGCCCCGUGAUCUGCCUCAUUGGUCUGCCGCCUCUUCUUUGACGCCCAGGUUGGCUCUCCAACCAGUCGAAGACAUCGCCUCUUCUUAUCCUUCAUCUUCAU